GCUGUGAGCCCUUCUGAGCCAUGCCAUCAUGAGGAGGGAAGCAGAGGGCUGCUGUGAAGAUUCAGGAAGUUUACUAAGGGCUUUGUAGACUGCGAAGAACUGAGAAAAUGGGAGAGAGAACUUGACGCUGGAGAAACCUGGAGGUCACCACCUUAAUUAAGUGACCCAAUUUGACAUCACCAGUCACGGAACCAAGUCAAAGCCAAGCAGGUGCCACCUGGGGUCGUCUUGCCACUGACGAAUCUGGCUAUAAGGAAUCAUUGACCAAACCCAAAUUCUACAAAUUAAUUGACCCGAAAUCUUCAAAAGUGUCAAGGCCGGGAAAGGAGACACUGGUCACUGGUUCAGACUGGGAAGGCCCGACCACUCAGGAUUCUGACCUGGGUAUCUUGCAAUGAUGGGCAUUUUUGCUGGGACAGUUGGCAAAACUUGCCUGAGGCCUGUGGAGCUGCAGGUGGCAACGUCUGGCGCUAACUUCCUGAUUGGAUGGUUACACUGUGGUCGUGGAGGGGAAUGUCCUUGUUUGUAGAAAAUAAACACCAAAGAAUUUGGGGUGGUGGGGCCUCAAGUCAGCCACUUAUUCUCCGGCGGUUCCAGAAAGAAAGUUCUUGGUAUUAUUGUGAAGAUUUCCUAUACGUUUGCAAUUGUUUCGAAACUUUUACAACUCUUAGUAUAAAAACACGUGUAUAAAAUAAACAACAAAAGAAUUCCAAAAAUGAGACCAGCUGAGUGCAGCGUGUAGAUCUGACGGAGUACGUGCUCACCUAAUAUCCAUAAUUACACUGAUGACUGUCGAGCUUCCUGCGUCUCUCGGCCUUGUCUGUUCUUUC
rnacentral:lncRNA from 1 species